UACGGAGGGUGCAAGCGUUGUCCGGAAUUAUUGGGCGUAAAGAGCUCGUAGGCGGUUUGUCGCGUCGAAUGUGAAAACCCGGGGCUCAACUCCGGGCCUGCAUUCGAUACGGGCAGACUAGAGUUCGGUAGGGGAGUCUGGAAUUCCUGGUGUAGCGGUGAAAUGCGCAGAUAUCAGGAGGAACACCGGUGGCGAAGGCGGGACUCUGGGCCGAUACUGACGCUGAGGAGCGAAAGCGUGGGGAGCGAACAGG
rnacentral:rRNA from 1 species